GACGAACGCUGGCGGCGUGCUUAACACAUGCAAGUCGAACGCUGAAGCUUGGUGCUUGCACUGGGUGGAUGAGUGGCGAACGGGUGAGUAAUACGUGAGUAACCUGCCCUUGACUCUGGGAUAAGCCUGGGAAACUGGGUCUAAUACUGGAUACGACAUGUCACCGCAUGGUGGUGUGUGGAAAGGGUUUUACUGGUUUUGGAUGGGCUCACGGCCUAUCAGCUUGUUGGUGGGGUAAUGGCUCACCAAGGCGACGACGGGUAGCCGGCCUGAGAGGGUGACCGGCCACACUGGGACUGAGACACGGCCCAGACUCCUACGGGAGGCAGCAGUGGGGAAUAUUGCACAAUGGGCGAAAGCCUGAUGCAGCGACACCGCGUGAGGGAUGACGGCCUUCGGGUUGUAAACCUCUUUCAGCACGGAAGAAGCGAAAGUGACGGUACGUGCAGAAGAAGCGCCGGCUAACUACGUG
rnacentral:rRNA from 1 species